UGCACUCACUACUGUAAGUCGCUCUGGAUAAGAGCGUCUGCUAAAUGAUAAAAA
rfam:Salmo salar isolate Sally breed double haploid chromosome ssa13, whole genome shotgun sequence.